rnacentral:hammerhead_ribozyme from 1 species
GACCUGAUGAGGAGUCCCACAAUAGGAUGAAACAGCUGUCCAGUGC